CUAUUAAACAAGAUAAGAGUUUUUGGUGGAUGCCUUGGGUCUGGAAGUCUAAGAAGGACGUGAUUACCUGCGAUAAGCCUCGGUUAGCUGGAAAUAAGCUGUUAUCCGGGGAUUUCCGAAUGGGGAAACCCAAUUGAGCUAAUCCUCAAUUAUCAUUUCGAUGAAUCCAUAGUCGAAUGAAGAGACACGCUGUGAAUUGAAACAUCUCAGUAGCAGCAGGAAAAGAAAAUAAAGAAUGAUUCCCUUAGUAGUGGCGAGCGAACGGGGAAAAGCCCAAACCAACAUUUGAUGUUGGGGUUGUAGGACUACUUACACGAAGUUAGACAAAACUUAAACAUAGCAGAAUAAGCUGGAAUGCUUAAACAUAGAGGGUGAAAUUCCCGUAAGCGAAAUGAAUAAGUCUUCAAGUAGUAUCCUGAGUAGGGCGGGGCACGUGAAACCCUGUCUGAACCCGCCGGGACCACCCGGUAAGGCUAAAUACUAACCAGACACCGAUAGCGAACUAG
rnacentral:rRNA from 2 species